UCCAGGAACAGCCUCUAAGCUUCAGGUUACCAACAAUCGUACCCCAACCCGACACAGGUGGUCAGGGAGAGAAUACUCAGGCGCUUGAGAGAACACGGGUGAAGGAACUAGGCAAAAUGGUGCCGUAACUUCGGGAGAAGGCACGCUGGCGGUAGGUAAAGUCCCUCGCUGACAGAGCUGAAGCCAGUCGAAGAUACAAGCUGGCUGCAACUGUUUAUUAAAAACACAGCACUGUGCAAACACGAAAGUGGA
rnacentral:rRNA from 1 species